rnacentral:rRNA from 1 species
UACGGAGGGUGCAAGCGUUAUCCGGAUUCACUGGGUUUAAAGGGUGCGUAGGCGUGCUGGUAAGUCCGUGGUGAAAUCUCUGAGCUUAACUCAGAAACUGCCAUGGAUACUAUUUGUCUUGAAUAUUGUGGAGGUGAGCGGAAUAUGUCAUGUAGCGGUGAAAUGCUUAGAUAUGACAUAGAACACCCAUUGCGAAGGCAGCUCACUACACAAUGAUUGACGCUGAGGCACGAAAGCGUGGGGAUCAAACAGG